rnacentral:rRNA from 1 species
UUCCGGUUGAUCCUGCCGGAGGUCACUGCUAUUGGGAUUCGACUAAGCCAUGCGAGUCGAGAGGGUUCGGCCCUCGGCUGACGGCUCAGUAACACGUGGAUAAUCUGCCCUUAGGUGGAGGAUACUCUCGGGAAACUGAGAAUAAUACUCCAUAGGUCUAGGAUGCUGGAAUGCAUCUAGGCUUAAAGCUCCGGCGCCUAAGGAUGAGUCUGCGGACUAUCAGGUUGUAGUCAGGGUAAUGACCUGACUAGCCUACGACGGAUAUGGGUUGUGAGAGCAAUAACCCAGAGAUGAUAUCUGAGACACGAUAUCAGGCCCUACGGGGCGCAGCAGGCGCGAAAACUUCACAAUGUGCGAAAGCGCGAUGAGGGAAUCCCAAGUGCUUGCUCGUUAGAGUAAGCUGUUUUUAUGUUUAAAACGCAUAGAGAGUAAGAGCUGGGUAAGACGGGUGCCAGCCGCCGCGGUAAUACCUGCAGCUCGAGUGGUGGCCGCCAUUAUUGGGCCUAAAACGUUCGUAGCCGGUUUAAUAAAUGCCUGGGUAAAUCGUGUAGCUUAACUAUACGAAUUCCGGGUAGACUGUUAAACUUGAGACCGGGAGAAGCUAGAGGUACUCCUGGGGUAGAGGUGAAAUUCUGUAAUCCUAGGGGGGACCACCAGUGGCGAAGGCGUCUAGCUAGAACGGGUCUGACGGUGAGGAACGAAGCCCUGGGGCGCAAACCGGAUUAGAUACCCGGGUAGUCCAGGGUGUAAACGCUGCUUGCUUGAUGUUAGUUGGGCUCCGAGCCCGAUUAGUGUCGGAGAGAAGUUGUUAAGCAAGCUGCCUGGGAAGUACGGCCGCAAGACUGAGACUUAAGGAAAUGGGCGGGGGAGCACAGCAACGGGUGAGCGUGCGGUUUAAUUGGACUCACGCCGGAAAUC